ACUGUGAGACAGGUGCUGCAUGGCUGUCGUCAGCUCGUGUUGUGAAAUGUUGGGUUAAGUCCCGCAACGAGCGCAACCCUUAUCCUUUGUUGCCAGCGGUCCGGCCGGGAACUCAAAGGAGACUGCCAGUGAUAAACUGGAGGAAGGUGGGGAUGACGUCAAGUCAUCAUGGCCCUUACGACCAGGGCUACACACGUGCUAC
rnacentral:rRNA from 1 species